rnacentral:hammerhead_ribozyme from 1 species
GUCCAGCUGACGAGUCCCGAAUAGGACGAAACGCGCGUCGAGCUGGAU